rnacentral:rRNA from 1 species
GUUGGCAACCAUCCUACAUGAAUGUGCCCAAUUAAAUCUACUCUUGGAUGCUAAGCAGGGUUGUUCCUGUUAGUACUGGGAUGGGAAAUUUAUACUUAAAACUGUUUUUGUUAAUU